CCGGGCACUGCUUCACGGCGUGCGCGGCUGGGCCGGCCCUGCUGAAUUAUUCACCCGUGUCUUUUGCGUACUUCUUGUUUCCUGGGUGGGCUCGCCCGCCAUCAGGACCAACCACAAACCUUUUGCAAUAGCAAUCAGCGUCAGUAACAACGUAAUUAAUUACAACUUUCAACAACGGAUCUCUUGGUUCUGGCAUCGAUGAAGAACGCAGCGAAAUGCGAUACGUAGUGUGAAUUGCAGAAUUCAGUGAAUCAUCGAAUCUUUGAACGCACAUUGCGCCCUUUGGUAUUCCAAAGGGCAUGCCUGUUCGAGCGUCAUUUGUACCCUCAAGCUUUGCUUGGUGUUGGGCGUCUUUUGUCUCCAGUUCGCUGGAGACUCGCCUUAAAGUCAUUGGCAGCCGGCCUACUGGUUUCGGAGCGCAGCACAAGUCGCGCUCUUUGCCAGCCAAGGUCAGCGUCCAGCAAGCCUUUUUUUUCAACCUUUGACCUCGGAUCAGGUAGGGAUACCCGCUGAACUUAAGCAUAU
rnacentral:rRNA from 1 species